UGUGCAGGAUGGGUACUGUACAAACUCUAGAGAGUGCCAUGCAAAUAAUGGCUUAUGUAAAUGGCAUUCCAAGGAUUUGUGCAGCACCCAACCUGCAU
rnacentral:miRNA from 1 species